rnacentral:rRNA from 1 species
UACAGAGGGUGCGAGCGUUAAUCGGAUUUACUGGGCGUAAAGCGUGUGUAGGCGGUCAAGAAAGUCGGUUGUGAAAUCCCUGGGCUCAACCCGGGAACUGCUUCCGAUACUUCAUGACUCGAAUUCGGUAGAGGGAGGCGGAACUCCAGGUGUAGCGGUGAAAUGCGUAGAUAUCUGGAAGAACACCAAUGGCGAAGGCAACCUCCUGGGCCUGAAUUGACACUGAGACACGAAAGCGUGGGGAUCAAACAGG